UUACGUCCAUAUCGCAUUGAAACACCGGUUCUCGUACGAUCGCUGAAGUUAAGCAACGUCGACAUUGGUCAGUACCUAGAUGGGUGAUCACUUGGGAAUACCGGUGCUGUAA